GCUGGGUGUGGUGGCGCACACCUGUAAUCCCAGCUACUUGGGAGGCUGAAGCAGGAGAAUUGCUUGAACCUGGGAGGCAGAAGUUGCAGUGAGCCGAGAUCAUGCCACUGCACUCCAGCCUGGGUGACAGAGCAAGACUCUGUCUCAA
rfam:Gorilla gorilla gorilla genomic chromosome, chr15, whole genome shotgun sequence